rnacentral:rRNA from 1 species
UAAUGGAUGAGCCCAAGUCAGAUUAGCUUGUUGGUAAGGUAACGGCUUACCAAGGUUACGAUCUGUAGCUGGUCUGAGAGGAUGAUCAGCCACACUGGGACUGAGACACGGCCCAGACUCCUACGGGAGGCAGCAGUGGGGAAUAUUGCACAAUGGGCGAAAGCCUGAUGCAGCAAUGCCGCGUGUGUGAAGAAGGCUCUAGGGUUGUAAAGCACUUUCAAUAAGGAAGAAAAGUAUAAAGUUAAUAACUUUAUGCAUUGACUUAACUUAUACAAGAAGCACCGGCUAAUUCCGUGCCAGCAGCCGCGGUAAUACGGAAGGUGCAAGCGUUAAUCGGAAUUACUGGGCGUAAAGCGCGCGUAGGCUGUUAUCUAAGUCGAAUGUGAAAUCCUCGGGCUCAACCUGGGAACUGCAUCCGAAACUGGAUAACUAGAGUAUGGGAGAGGUAAGUAGAAUUUCCGGUGUAGCGGUGAAAUGCGUAGAUAUCGGAAGGAAUACCAGUGGCGAAGGCGGCUUACUGGACCAAUACUGACGCUAAGGUGCGAAAGCGUGGGGAGCGAACAGGAUUAGAUACCCUGGUAGUCCACGCCGUAAACGAUGAGAACCAGAUGUUGGGGGGGUUAGCCUCUCAGUGUCGCAGCUAACGCAUUAAGUCUCCGCCCUGGG